rnacentral:lncRNA from 1 species
UAUUUUGUGGCAGUCUUUACUGAUGCCUUGAUGUAAGAUUUGGGCUCUUAAUGAGUUCCAUGGAUUUCUCAUUAUCUCACCUGUCACAGCUGUGUAUGAUGAUGGUUUAUAUCUCCUAACAAUUAUGUUUUAACAUUUUUAAUGUUAUAACAUUUGCUGUAACAUUCUCUGCUAGGCUAAUUGACAUUUAUUCUGUCUAAUUGGUCACCUUUUGUCAAUUUUGACUAAAAAGGGGGAGAAGUGAUUAUAUGGAG